rnacentral:lncRNA from 1 species
UUCUAUAUUUUUAUUUAAGUAAAUUAUAUUUUUGUUUCAUAAAUUAUGAAGCGCGUGUGACUUUAAUCCUUGCAAUAAUUAAUAGUACAGCAAUGAUUAAGAUGCCGUAUUACUUUUAUAUCAGAAAUAUGUUAAUAUUUAGUCACUUAAAUUAAAUAAUAAAAUUUAAUUUUAAUAAUUUUUAAAGUUGGAGAGAGAAAUUGAUGCAAAUUAUACUUUGAAAAUCAAAAUGUUACUUGGCACAUAAUUUGAUAACCAAAAGAGUUAUUUAGCCUCUUUAUUUUGAUUCACACUAAAUAUGAGUAUUGAACUAUUUUGGCUGUGAAAUAUAUAUUGUUUAUGAUUGCUGUGGAAAAUCGAAGCAGCAAAGGAACAGCUAUGAGUGUGCAUAUAAAAAUAGAGUAGGGUUGCUAUACUAUUAGGAGCACAGCAGCUAUUGUGUUCAUAACUUUAUGUGAUUAUGAUUAAAAAGAGAAGAAAAAUUAGAAAGAAAUUAAGUGUCUAAUUUUUUUUUUUUUUUCUCUCAUUCUAACCACUUAUCGAAAUUGAUAGAUGGUUCAGAAGUUAAAUAUGUCUUUUUAGGUUUGAAUAAAA